GACGAACGCUGGCGGCGUGCCUAAUACAUGCAAGUUGAGCGAUGAAGAUUGGUGCUUGCACCAAUUUGAAGAGCAGCGGACGGGUGAGUAACGCGUGGGGAAUCUGCCUUUGAGCGGGGGACAACAUUUGGAAACGAAUGCUAAUACCGCAUAACAACUUUAAACAUAAGUUUUAAGUUUGAAAGAUGCAAUUGCAUCACUCAAAGAUGAUCCCGCGUUGUAUUAGCUAGUUGGUGAGGUAAAGGCUCACCAAGGCGAUGAUACAUAGCCGACCUGAGAGGGUGAUCGGCCACAUUGGGACCGAGACACGGCCCAAACUCCUACGGGAGGCAGCAGUAGGGAAUCUUCGGCAAUGGACGAAAGUCUGACCGAGCAACGCCGCGUGAGUGAAGAAGGUUUUCGGAUCGUAAAACUCUGUUGGUAGAGAAGAACGUUGGUGAGAGUGGAAAGCUCAUCAAGUGACGGUAACUACCCAGAAAGGGACGGCUAACUACGUG
rnacentral:rRNA from 1 species